CCUACGGGUGGCCGCAGUAGGGAAUUUUCCACAAUUGGCGAAAGCCUGAUGGAGCAACGCCGCGUGUGUGAAGCAGGUCUUCUGAUCGUCAAACCCUGUUGUUAGAGAAGACAGUGCGUGAGAGUAACUGUUCACGUUUCGACGGUAUCUAACCAGACAGCCACGGCUAACUACGUGCCAGCAGCCGCUGUAAUACGUAGGUGGCAAGCUUUAUCCGGAUUUAUUGGGCGUAAAGGGAACGCAGGCGGUCUUUUAAGUCUGAUGUGAAAGCCUUCGGCUUAACCGGAGUAGUGCAUUGGAAACUGGGAGACUGGAGUGCAGAAGAGGAGAGUGGAACUCCAUGUGUAGCGGUGAAAUGCGUAGAUAUAGGGAAGAACACCAGUGGCGAAAGCGGCUCUCUGGGCUGUAACUGACGCUGAGGUUCGAAAGCGUGGGUAGCAAACAGGAUUAGAUACCCGAGUAGUC
rnacentral:rRNA from 1 species